AACUAAGUUUGUCAUUGGUAUGAGCUUUCUUGUGCAUGCACACUUCUUCAGAUACCAGAUACCAGAUACCUGAAGAAGUGUGCGUGCAGACAAAAGCUCAUACCAAUGACAAACUUAGUUGG